AGUAAUAGAUAAGUUCUUGAAACCCAAAGAAUUUGGCGGUGUUUUAGUCUUUUCAGAGGAAUCUGUCCUGUAAUUGAUAAUACACAUUAUAGUCGAUUUACCUUUGUUUUCAGUUUGUAUACCGCCGUCGGAAGAUUAUUUUAAUAGAAAAAUAAUUUUCAAGUAUUUUUAUUAGAAUUUAUGUCAGGUCAAGGUGCAGCUUAUGGGUAAGGAGAGAUGGAUUACAAUAAAAGGAUUUAUAUGGAUUUUACAUUGGAAAGUGUAGAUGAAGGUGGAUUUGAAAGUAAUAUUGUAAUAUUAUGACAGUUUGAUUUUAGCUCUAAAACAUAC
rnacentral:rRNA from 1 species